AUUUUAAACAAAGGAAAAUGAUGCGAUGAAAGAGUUGGAGAUGAACAAAAAGCUCUAUGUGAGGCUCAAUUUGAAGAGAUCUCUUAUGGCAUAGAUACUGAUGAGGUUAUUGUCGGUAGCAUUGGAUAAUGAAGGAAAAAAAGAAUUUUUUUUUUCACUUUUAUAAUUCUUUAUAUGCAAAUUUUUUUUCUAAUAGAAAUCACAAAUAUAAGGCUCUUUGAUAUUAUAAUUUAUAAUAUAUAUUCUGCAAGC